rnacentral:rRNA from 1 species
UUAAGCGACUAAGCGUACACGGUGGAUGCCCUGGCAGUCAGAGGCGAUGAAGGACGUGCUAAUCUGCGAUAAGCGUCGGUAAGGUGAUAUGAACCGUUAUAACCGGCGAUUUCCGAAUGGGGAAACCCAGUGUGAUUCGUCACACUAUCAUUAACUGAAUCCAUAGGUUAAUGAGGCGAACCGGGGGAACUGAAACAUCUAAGUACCCCGAGGAAAAGAAAUCAACCGAGAUUCCCCCAGUAGCGGCGAGCGAACGGGGAGCAGCCCAGAGCCUGAAUCAGUGUGUGUGUUAGUGGAAGCGUCUGGAAAGGCACGCGAUACAGGGUGACAGCCCCGUACACAAAAAUGCACAUGCUGUGAGCUCGAUGAGUAGGGCGGGACACGUGGUAUCCUGUCUGAAUAUGGGGGGACCAUCCUCCAAGGCUAAAUACUCCUGACUGACCGAUAGUGAACCAGUACCGUGAGGGAAAGGCGAAAAGAACCCCGGCGAGGGGAGUGAAAAAGAACCUGAAACCGUGUACGUACAAGCAGUGGGAGCACGCUUAGGCGUGUGACUGCGUACCUUUUGUAUAAUGGGUCAGCGACUUAUAUUCUGUAGCAAGGUUAACCGAAUAGGGGAGCCGAAGGGAAACCGAGUCUUAACUGGGCGUUAAGUUGCAGGGUAUAGACCCGAAACCCGGUGAUCUAGCCAUGGGCAGGUUGAAGGUUGGGUAACACUAACUGGAGGACCGAACCGACUAAUGUUGAAAAAUUAGCGGAUGACUUGUGGCUGGGGGUGAAAGGCCAAUCAAACCGGGAGAUAGCUGGUUCUCCCCGAAAGCUAUUUAGGUAGCGCCUCGUGAAUUCAUCUCCGGGGGUAGAGCACUGUUUCGGCAAGGGGGUCAUCCCGACUUACCAACCCGAUGCAAACUGCGAAUACCGGAGAAUGUUAUCACGGGAGACACACGGCGGGUGCUAACGUCCGUCGUGAAGAGGGAAACAACCCAGACCGCCAGCUAAGGUCCCAAAGUCAUGGUUAAGUGGGAAACGAUGUGGGAAGGCCCAGACAGCCAGGAUGUUGGCUUAGAAGCAGCCAUCAUUUAAAGAAAGCGUAAUAGCUCACUGGUCGAGUCGGCCUGCGCGGAAGAUGUAACGGGGCUAAACCAUGCACCGAAGCUGCGGCAGCGACGCUUAUGCGUUGUUGGGUAGGGGAGCGUUCUGUAAGCCUGUGAAGGUGUACUGUGAGGUAUGCUGGAGGUAUCAGAAGUGCGAAUGCUGACAUAAGUAACGAUAAAGCGGGUGAAAAGCCCGCUCGCCGGAAGACCAAGGGUUCCUGUCCAACGUUAAUCGGGGCAGGGUGAGUCGACCCCUAAGGCGAGGCCGAAAGGCGUAGUCGAUGGGAAACAGGUUAAUAUUCCUGUACUUGGUGUUACUGCGAAGGGGGGACGGAGAAGGCUAUGUUGGCCGGGCGACGGUUGUCCCGGUUUAAGCGUGUAGGCUGGUUUUCCAGGCAAAUCCGGAAAAUCAAGGCUGAGGCGUGAUGACGAGGCACUACGGUGCUGAAGCAACAAAUGCCCUGCUUCCAGGAAAAGCCUCUAAGCAUCAGGUAACAUCAAAUCGUACCCCAAACCGACACAGGUGGUCAGGUAGAGAAUACCAAGGCGCUUGAGAGAACUCGGGUGAAGGAACUAGGCAAAAUGGUGCCGUAACUUCGGGAGAAGGCACGCUGAUAUGUAGGUGAAGUCCCUCGCGGAUGGAGCUGAAAUCAGUCGAAGAUACCAGCUGGCUGCAACUGUUUAUUAAAAACACAGCACUGUGCAAACACGAAAGUGGACGUAUACGGUGUGACGCCUGCCCGGUGCCGGAAGGUUAAUUGAUGGGGUUAGCGGUAACGCGAAGCUCUUGAUCGAAGCCCCGGUAAACGGCGGCCGUAACUAUAACGGUCCUAAGGUAGCGAAAUUCCUUGUCGGGUAAGUUCCGACCUGCACGAAUGGCGUAAUGAUGGCCAGGCUGUCUCCACCCGAGACUCAGUGAAAUUGAACUCGCUGUGAAGAUGCAGUGUACCCGCGGCAAGACGGAAAGACCCCGUGAACCUUUACUAUAGCUUGACACUGAACAUUGAGCCUUGAUGUGUAGGAUAGGUGGGAGGCUUUGAAGUGUGGACGCCAGUCUGCAUGGAGCCGACCUUGAAAUACCACCCUUUAAUGUUUGAUGUUCUAACGUUGACCCGUAAUCCGGGUUGCGGACAGUGUCUGGUGGGUAGUUUGACUGGGGCGGUCUCCUCCUAAAGAGUAACGGAGGAGCACGAAGGUUGGCUAAUCCUGGUCGGACAUCAGGAGGUUAGUGCAAUGGCAUAAGCCAGCUUGACUGCGAGCGUGACGGCGCGAGCAGGUGCGAAAGCAGGUCAUAGUGAUCCGGUGGUUCUGAAUGGAAGGGCCAUCGCUCAACGGAUAAAAGGUACUCCGGGGAUAACAGGCUGAUACCGCCCAAGAGUUCAUAUCGACGGCGGUGUUUGGCACCUCGAUGUCGGCUCAUCACAUCCUGGGGCUGAAGUAGGUCCCAAGGGUAUGGCUGUUCGCCAUUUAAAGUGGUACGCGAGCUGGGUUUAGAACGUCGUGAGACAGUUCGGUCCCUAUCUGCCGUGGGCGCUGGAGAACUGAGGGGGGCUGCUCCUAGUACGAGAGGACCGGAGUGGACGCAUCACUGGUGUUCGGGUUGUCAUGCCAAUGGCACUGCCCGGUAGCUAAAUGCGGAAGAGAUAAGUGCUGAAAGCAUCUAAGCACGAAACUUGCCCCGAGAUGAGUUCUCCCUGACUCCUUGAGAGUCCUGAAGGAACGUUGAAGACGACGACGUUGAUAGGCCGGGUGUGUAAGCGCAGCGAUGCGUUGAGCUAACCGGUACUAAUGAACCGUGAGGCUUAACCUU